rnacentral:lncRNA from 1 species
GGGAAAAAUAGGGAUUCAUUUGAAAAUCGAAGGAUAGGAUUUUAGAGCUAGCUUGAAGUUCUUUUCAAAAGCAUAAGGAUUGUUUUUGUAGGAUUUUAGAAGACUUAGCAAUUGUUGUUCAAAAUUAGGGUUUGUAUUGGUGAUUUGGAUUUUAUAUAAUAUAAUUAGGGCUAGUAAUUUUGGCUAGUUCAUGCAAUUGGUGUAACAUCUAUCAUUAAAAAUUUGAGAAUAUUUGGAUUAUUAGGUGUGCUAAGUAUAUACAAAAUUUUGUGAUAAUCUAAUGGCGUGGUUUAGAGAUAUCUAGUUUUUAGUAUAAGAAGGUUUUGAAAGUUGGUAGUUUGAGGUCGGGUAGGGUUUCUAUAAUAUUUUAAGAUCUAUUGGUUGGAUCAAGAUGAAAUUUGGCAUAUUGUUGAAGGACUUAAAGAUCAAGUUGCACACCAAUUUUGAGUCAAAGUUAACGGUUGGAAAGGGAGAAAUUACUACUCGGAUUUUUACUUCACUUUUCAAGUUGGCAGCCGAGUGACAUUAGUGCAAUUUUUGGAGGUUUUCUCAAAAUUUGUAAGUUGGAUUGAGCUAAAAAUUCUUGAGCAUAUAGAAGACUUAUAUUGACAAUUGCUUGCAAAAUUUUACAUCAAGUGGACGGUCUCAUUGGAUUUUACAGCUUGUUAAAGCUCAUUGAUUAGGAUUUGGGCUUAGAAGAAAAAUCUAAAUUGCUUAAAUAUGAAAGUAACAAGGUAA